UACGUAGGUGGCGAGCGUUGUCCGGAUUUACUGGGCGUAAAGAGCGCGCAGGCGGCUGGUCAAGUCCGAUGUGAAAGCUCCCGGCUUAACUGGGAAAUUGCAUCGGAAACUGAUCGGCUGGAAGGUGGGAGAGGGUAGCGGAAUUCCCGGUGUAGUGGUGAAAUGCGUAGAUAUCGGGAGGAACACCAGUGGCGAAAGCGGCUACCUGGCCCACUCUUGACGCUGAGGCGCGAAAGCUAGGGGAGCAAACGGG
rnacentral:rRNA from 1 species